AGUGAACGCUGGCGGUAGGCCUAACACAUGCAAGUCGAACGGCAGCACAGUAAGAGCUUGCUCUUACGGGUGGCGAGUGGCGGACGGGUGAGGAAUACAUCGGAAUCUACUUUUUCGUGGGGGAUAACGUAGGGAAACUUACGCUAAUACCGCAUACGACCUACGGGUGAAAGCAGGGGAUCUUCGGACCUUGCGCGAUUGAAUGAGCCGAUGUCGGAUUAGCUAGUUGGCGGGGUAAAGGCCCACCAAGGCGACGAUCCGUAGCUGGUCUGAGAGGAUGAUCAGCGACACUGGAACUGAGACACGGUCCAGACUCCUACGGGAGGCAGCAGUGGGGAAUAUUGGACAAUGGGCGCAAGCCUGAUCCAGCCAUACCGCGUGGGUGAAGAAGGCCUACGGGUUGUAAAGCCCUUUUGUUGGGAAAGAAAAGCAGCAGGUUAAUACCCCGCUGUUAUGACGGUACCCAAAGAAUAAGCACCGGCUAACUUCGUG
rnacentral:rRNA from 1 species